UUAAUCAUUUAUGAUUGAACCAAUUUGAAAUGAUUAUGAUUUAACCUAUGAUGCAUAUAUGAGACUUAUAAAGCAAAUCAUAAUACAUUUCAGAUAAUCAUAUAAGGAAUGAAUGGUAUAAUAAUAACAUGAUGAAUUACAUUCAUACCUUCACGAAGGAUAACAUAAGAUUUUAUAAGUAUUAUGCUCAAUGAAAUCAGCAUCAACCAUUUAUAUUAGAGAAGAAUUUUAGAUUUUGAAAAAUUUAAAGGAGAAGGUUAUACAUAUUCA
rnacentral:lncRNA from 1 species